GUAGGAUAUUUGAGAGGAGCUGUCCUUAGUACGAGAGGACCGGGAUGGACUGGCCGCUGGUGUAUCUGUUGUUUUACCAAGAGCAUAGCAGAGUAGCCAAGCCGGGAAGGGAUAAACGCUGAAGGCAUCUAAGCGUGAAGCCCCCCUCAAGAUGAGAUAUCCCAUAACGGUAAGUUAGUAAGACCCCUUGAAGACGACGAGGUAGAUAGGGCAGAGGUGGAAGUGUGGCAACACAUGGAGCUGACUGUUACUAAUCGGUCGAGGGCAUAACCAA
rnacentral:rRNA from 1 species